rnacentral:tRNA from 1 species
CCUUCGAUAGCUCAGUUGGUAGAGCGGUGGACUGUAGUAACGAGAUGCAUUCGAAAACAUCAAGAUUUAGCUGUCUACAUUGGGCCUCCGACAGGACGCCCAGUGUAUACAGCCACUAGGUGCAGACAUCCAUAGGUCGCUGGUUCAAAUCCGGCUCGAAGGA